rnacentral:lncRNA from 1 species
UAUUGAGCUAUUUGAGGAAAUUAAGUUCAUAUGCAGGUUUGAGAAAAAAGGUUGAAAUUCAAAACAUAAUUGCUUAGAAUGUUGGAGUGGUGGGAUUUUACAUGAAAAUGACCCCAUGAAGAUUCACAAGUAUUUUGUUUGUUGAAUAUAUAACGUGAAAAUCCUUAUUUUUCAGUGGUCCUGUGUCCAUCUCCUCUCAAAAGCUAGCUCGAGGGACGAGGCUCUCUCUUACACUUACAAACUCCUUCAUAAGCUCCUUCCUCGGCUGUUAUCGGACAACCUCAGCAACCUCUCCUUGGGCCUUCGAUCGGAGCCGCGACAACUCAUUUCUCAGCCUGACUGUAGGGUAUAGACUCGGCGGUAAACCUAGCCAGCCUCCAUUGCAGGGUCCAAACUUGGUGGUAAAUAUGUGCUCCGAUACUAUUCGUUAAAGAUCUUCCUUAACAGAUGGGAGAGUUUGAAAAGAAAUCGAGAGAGAAUUAACAUAUUGUACUGCUAAAUUGUUUCAUUUUUAUUGCUUCUCCCCUUAAGCUUCUCUAUACCAGGAUUGUUAUUUUUACACCAAAACAAACAAUCGCAUGCCUAGGCCUUAGAAAACUCAUAUUUCGAUAUACAAGUGACGUUUUUUUUCUGAAGAAAAUACUGUAUAAUUCCUUGUUUUUAUUAGAUGUUAGAAUAUAAUAUAUUUUUGGAAAAAUAGAAUAAAAACCC